rnacentral:rRNA from 1 species
CUGGCUCAGGAUGAACGCUAGCUACAGGCUUAACACAUGCAAGUCGAGGGGCAGCAUUGAGAUAGCUUGCUAUUCAGAUGGCGACCGGCGCACGGGUGAGUAACGCGUAUCCAACUUCCCCUUAGUAGGGGAUAGCCCGGUGAAAAUCGGAUUAAUACCCUAUGUUGUUCGAAGCAGACAUCUAAAUUGAACCAAAGGUUUACCGCUAAGGGAUGGGGAUGCGUCUGAUUAGGUAGUAGGCGGGGUAACGGCCCACCUAGCCGACGAUCAGUAGGGGUUCUGAGAGGAAGGUCCCCCACAUUGGAACUGAGACACGGUCCAAACUCCUACGGGAGGCAGCAGUGAGGAAUAUUGGUCAAUGGGCGCGAGCCUGAACCAGCCAAGUAAGCGUGCAGGACGACGGCCCUAUGGGUUGUAAACUGCUUUUAUACAGGGAUAAAGUCACCUACGUGUAGGUGUUUGUAGGUACUGUAUGAAUAAGGACCGGCUAAUUCCGUGCCAGCCGCCGC